ACCCGCUGAACUUAAGCAUAUCAAUAAGGGGAGGAAAAGAAACCAACAGGGAUUGCCUCAGUAACGGCGAGUGAAGCGGCAAAAGCUCAAAUUUGAAAUCUGGCGUCUUCGACGUCCGAGUUGUAAUUUGUAGAGGUAGCCUUGGGUUACAGCCAGGUCUAUGUUCCUUGGAACAGGACGUCAUGGAGGGUGAGAAUCCCGUAAAUGGCUUGGCCAGUGCCUAUGUAUAGCGCCUUCGACGAGUCGAGUUGUUUGGGAAUGCAGCUCUAAGCGGGUGGUAAAUUCCAUCUAAAGCUAAAUAUUGGCGAGAGACCGAUAGCGCACAAGUAGAGUGAUCGAAAGGUGAAAAGCACUCCGGAAGGAGAGUUAAACAGCACGUGAAAUUGUUGAAAGGGAAGCGCUUGAGACCAGACUCAGGUAAAGUUGAUCAACCUCCAUUCUUGGUGGUGCACUCUUCUUUGCCCGGGCCAGCAACAGUUUUGACGGUGGUAUAAAGGUUUAGGGAAUGUGGCUCUCUUCGGGGAGUGUUAUAGCCCUAUUCGUAAUGCUGCCUGUCGAGACUGAGGACCGCGCUUCGGCUAGGUUGUUGGCGUAAUGGUCUU
rnacentral:rRNA from 1 species